UACGAAGGGUGCAAACGUUGCUCGGAAUCAUUGGGCGUAAAGCGCACGUAGGCGGCUUCGCAAGUCGGAUGUGAAAUCCCGUGGCUCAACCAUGGACGUGCAUCCGAAACUGCGAGGCUUGAGUAUGGCAGAGGGUCGCGGAAUUCCCGGUGUAGAGGUGAAAUUCGUAGAUAUCGGGAGGAACACCAGUGGCGAAGGCGGCGACCUGGGCCAAUACUGACGCUGAGGUGCGAAAGCGUGGGGAGCAAACAGG
rnacentral:rRNA from 1 species